GCGGCUUUAGCUCACUUGGGAGAGCGCCAGACUGAAGUCCACUUCAGAUCAACUGAAAUCUGGAGGCACUGUGUUCGAUCCACAGAAGCCGCA